UGGUUCACACAAAAAUUGAGUUUUAUUACAUUGUUUAACUAAAGAUGGAAAUAAAGACUCUAAUAUAGAAAAAGAGUGAUGUCCCAAACGUCGAUGCCAUUGAUGGAGAGAAGUCAGGCUGGUGUCAGAAGUAGAGUGAAGACCCUGAGGAGAGAACAUGUUAGACGAGGGAACAUCUAAAUAAUAAAGACCACCGACUGCACUACCACUGUCAAUCUUUUGCCACGUCACCAAGUCCUGAAAAACAUAAUGAGUUCGGAAAAAAGUUACUGAGCAGUGUAAGGAUUCAGAAAGAUGUUGGAUACAUAAUAAAUUUGCAGUAAAUGAAGGAAUAUGAAGAACAUAUGAUAAUGUCAAUGAAGGAGUACAAACUACAGAACCACUCCCAGAGAUAGAAGAAAAGGAAUCAUCAACUAAUCGAACCAUGUCUUUUCCAAAACAAGGCGUAUUUGAAGUAAAGAGGGUGAAGGACCCAGUCAUAUGCUCGGAGGUACCUGUGUCAAUGAUUCAACUAGGACAAGUUGAUGAAACAUUAAAAGCACAAGACUAUAUACCUGACUGGGCAUAAUGGGAAGUAGAUUUGGAAUAGAAUUUUCAAAAAGCUGAGAUAUCCUCAGGAGCGAGUGCAGUAUUAGUGUCUG
rnacentral:lncRNA from 1 species